AUGAUUAUGAUUAUGAUUAUUUUUUUUUCUUUUCCACGUGUCUGGUUGAUGCGGCUCCGGGAGCUUGGAGAUGGAGGAACCCCGAGCAGCCACCCUCGCCGGGGCGUCCCCGGCCUCCCCGGGCCUGCUCCGCCCUCCUCGGUACCACGGAUUUCGGUUCGUCUGUCCGGGUCAUCCUGCCUUCUUGUGUCAAUCACGCGCGGCCUGCUCGGCGCUUAUCGCCUUCCUUAUCGCCUUCGCCAGCGGCGGGUUUCGACGCCCGCGCUCCCGAGCCCCUGGAGCCUGCGGCCCGAGCCGGGGCCCGUGUCCCGCCGCCACGCGCGAUUUGUUUGCACCUCGCAGGUGAGAGGAUGGCUUUGCUCGCAGCGGCGGGCCGGGCCGGGCCGGGCCGGGCGCGGGGCCUCCUCGGGGCCCGCGGGCGCCGGCCUCCGAUGUCAGCGCGGCCGGGCCGCCCGGGCCCCGCCGCCGCCUCUAACAUUGAGCAACAGCGCCACCUCGCGUCCGCUCGCCCCCACGCAGCGCGGCCCCGCCAGGGCCCGCGGCCGGGGCGAGCAGGUCCCCGCCUUGGCCCCCAAGGUGGGAGGUCAGAGGCAGGAGUCUCCAAGCGGGCGCGCCACGGGGGGGGGGUCCCCAGUAGGGAGCUCCCCCGGGGACCGCCGUCCUUUUAGCUUCCCAAGGUCUCCAGAUAAGCCUUGUCAACGGUUUCACGCUCUUUUCUCUUUUUGUCACCCUCCCUUCCCGCAUCGAGAGACGCUGUGCCAAGGAGCUGCCGCGAUCUGCCCCCUACUCAGGCGCAUUUCUGGGCUCGGAACACCUCAGCUCAAGCAGAUGCACGCCCCGAGGCUCCCGAGGCCUCCACCCGCGGCGCGCACCCUAAACUCCUCGCUCCUCUUACCCUGCCGCUGGCUCCGCACCGCCUAUUCCGCCGUCUGCAGGACUUUGGGGUGGGACUCUGACUUCUCCCGACUGUUGGCCCCCUGGUUUGUAGCCCAUCCCUCUCUCUCUCCCUCUCUCUCUCUCACUCACGCACUCUCUCUCUCUCUCUCCACCUCUCUCUCCCAGCCAGUGAGGUCCUGUUCUCCGUGGGCCAUAGACAAAACAUUCCUAUAA
rnacentral:lncRNA from 12 species